GAUGAACGCUGGCGGUGUGCCUAAUACAUGCAAGUCGAGCGAACAGACGAGGAGCUUGCUCCUCUGACGUUAGCGGCGGACGGGUGAGUAACACUUGGAUAACCUACCUAUAAGACUGGGAUAACUUCGUGAAACCGGAGCUAAUACCGGAUAAUAUAUUGAACCGCAUUGUUCAAUAGUGCAAAACGGUUUUGCUGUCACUUAUAGAUGGAUCCGCGCCGCAUGAGCUAGUUGGUAAGGUAACGGCUUACCAAGGCGACGCUGCGUAGCCGACCUGAGAGGGUGAUCGGCCACACGGGAACUGAGACACGGUCCAGACUCCUACGAGAGGCAGCAGUAGGGAAUCUUCAGCAAUGGGCGAAAGCCUGACGGAGCAGCGCCGCGUGAGUGAUGAAGGUCUUCGGAUCGUAAAACUCUGUUAUUAGGGAAGAACAAAGGUGUAAGUAACUAUGCACGUCUUGACGGUACCUAAUCAGAAAGCCACGGCUAACUACGUG
rnacentral:rRNA from 1 species